rnacentral:rRNA from 1 species
UGGGGAAUCUUGCGCAAUGGGCGAAAGCCUGACGCAGCGACGCCGCGUGAGUGAUGAAGGCCCUCGGGUUGUAAAGCUCUGUGGAGGGGGACGAAUAAGGGCUGGCUAACAUCCAGCCUGAUGACGGUACCCCUUUAGCAAGCACCGGCUAACUCUGUGCCAGCAGCCGCGGUAAGACAGAGGGUGCGAACGUUGUUCGGAAUUACUGGGCGUAAAGCGCGUGUAGGCGGCUCGGAAAGUCGGGUGUGAAAGCCCUGGGCUUAACCCAGGAAGUGCAUUCGAAACUUCCGAGCUUGAGUCCUGGAGAGGAAGGCGGAAUUCUCGGUGUAGAGGUGAAAUUCGUAGAUAUCGAGAGGAACACCGGUGGCGAAGGCGGCCUUCUGGACAGUGACUGACGCUGAGACGCGAAAGCGUGGGGAGCAAACAGGAUUAGAUACCCGUGUAGUCC